rnacentral:rRNA from 1 species
CCUGCCCAAGAGAUCGGGAUAACACCUGGAAACAGAUGCUAAUACCGGAUAACAACAGAUGAUGCCUAUCAACUGUUUAAAAGAUGGUUCUGCUAUCACUCUUGGAUGGACCUGCGGUGCAUUAGCUAGUUGGUAGGGUAACGGCCUACCAAGGCGAUGAUGCAUAGCCGAGUUGAGAGACUGAUCGGCCACAUUGGGACUGAGACACGGCCCAAACUUCUACGGGAGGCAGCAGCU